rnacentral:lncRNA from 1 species
GCGGCAUGUCCUUGUCCCUUAAGUGGCGGCCUAAAUGCUCUGAAAAAUCAUCUCAUCUCAUCUCAUGUCAUGUCCGUCCUAUGCUGAUACAACUAGGCACUAGCAAAGUUUGUUUCUAGUUAUCUAACUAUAUAGCUGUGUAUAGUAUAGCUACCAACAAUUCAGUCUCAUCUGUAAUUUAAACCAACUCCAUGGAUAAUUUAGUUGCAUAGCUAUUUACCCUUUUUCCUCAAAUUUUCCAAGUUCCAUAUAUUCCAUUAUUUCUCUCUUUCAAAUUGGAUCAUCAUUCAUCA